rnacentral:rRNA from 1 species
GAUGAACGCUAGCGGCAGGCUUAACACAUGCAAGUCGAGGGGCAGCGCGGGAUAGCAAUAUCCUGGCGGCGACCGGCGGAAGGGUGCGUAACGCGUGAGCGACAUGCCCGUUGCCCGGGGACAACCGGUGGAAACGCCGACUAAUCCCCGAUGGGAUAUUGUGCCGCAUGGCACGAUAUUGAAAGUUACGGCGGCGACGGAUUGGCUCGCGUCCGAUUAGCUGGUUGGCGGGGUAACGGCCCACCAAGGCUGCGAUCGGUAGGGGUUCUGAGAGGAAGGCCCCCCACAAUGGGACUGAGACACGGCCCAUACUCCUACGGGAGGCAGCAGUGAGGAAGAUUGGUCAAUGGGCGGAAGCCUGAACCAGCCAUGCCGCGUGCGGGAAGGAGGCCCUAUGGGCUGUGAACCGCUUUUGCCUGGGGGCAAUAAGGGCGUCGCGCACGUCCGAUGAGAGUACCAGGCGAAUAAGCAUCGGCUAACUCCGUG